GAUGAACGCUAGCUACAGGCUUAACACAUGCAAGUCGAGGGGCAUCAUGUCGGUUGCUUGCAACCGAUGAUGGCGACCGGCGAAUGGGUGAGUAACGCGUAUCCAACCUGCCCCCGGCCGGGGUAUAACCCGUCGAAAGGCGGCCUAAUCCCCCAUGCAGUCCUCUGAGGUCCUCCGAUGAGGAUGAAAGGUAUUUUUCCGGCCGGUCGAUGGGGAUGCGUCCGAUUAGCUUGCUGGCGGGGUAACGGCCCACCAGGGCUUCGAUCGGUAGGGGUUUGGCUGGUACUGAGACACGGACCAGACUCCUACGGGAGGCAGCAGUGAGGAAUAUUGGUCAAUGGGCGGAAGCCUGAACCAGCCAAGUAGCGUGCAGGAUGACGGCCCUAUGGGUUGUAA
rnacentral:rRNA from 1 species